rnacentral:miRNA from 2 species
CAUCUCAUGUCUACAUAGAGACG